rnacentral:rRNA from 1 species
GACGAACGCUGGCGGCGUGCUUAACACAUGCAAGUCGAACGGAAAGGCCCUGCUUGCUGGGUGCUCGAGUGGCGAACGGGUGAGUAACACGUGGGUGCUCUGCCCCUUACUUUGGGAUAAGCCUGGGCAACUGGGUCUAAUACUGGAUAGGACCAUGCUGCAGGUGGUGUGGUGGAAAGAUUAGUUUCGGUAAGGGAUGAGCUCGCGGCCUAUCAGCUUGUUGGUGGGGUAAUGGCCUACCAAGGCGUCGACGGGUAGCCGGCCUGAGAGGGUGGACGGCCACAUUGGGACUGAGACACGGCCCAGACGCCUACGGGAGGCAGCAGUGGGGAAUAGUGCACAAUGGGCGCAAGCCGGAUGCAGCGACGCCGCGUGGGGGAUGACGGCCUUCGGGUUGUAAACUACUUUCGGCCAUGACGAAGCCCUUGUGGUGACGGUAGUGGUAGAAGAAGCACCGGCUAACUACGUG